GUGAACGCUGGCGGCAGGCCUAACACAUGCAAGUCGAACGGCAGCACAGGAGAGCUUGCUCUCUGGGUGGCGAGUGGCGGACGGGUGAGGAAUACGUCGGAAUCUGCCUAUUUGUGGGGGAUAACGUAGGGAAACUUACGCUAAUACCGCAUACGACCUACGGGUGAAAGCGGAGGACCUUCGGGCUUCGCGCAGAUAGAUGAGCCGACGUCGGAUUAGCUUGUUGGCGGGGUAAAGGCCCACCAAGGCGACGAUCCGUAGCUGGUCUGAGAGGAUGAUCAGCCACACUGGAACUGAGACACGGUCCAGACUCCUACGGGAGGCAGCAGUGGGGAAUAUUGGACAAUGGGCGCAAGCCUGAUCCAGCCAUGCCGCGUGUGUGAAGAAGGCCUUCGGGUUGUAAAGCACUUUUGUUGGGGUAAGAAAA
rnacentral:rRNA from 1 species